rnacentral:ncRNA from 1 species
CCCGAUAAAGCCAAAUUCUCCGUGAGGAGAAAGCGGAAAGCCGCGGGUCUUUUAAGCAAUAGAUAGCCGAGCUGCCGAAG